rnacentral:rRNA from 1 species
GACGAACGCUGGCGGCGUGCUUAACACAUGCAAGUCGAACGAUGAACCGGUUUCGGCCGGGGAUUAGUGGCGAACGGGUGAGUAACACGUGGGCAAUCUGCCCUGCACUCUGGGAUAAGCCCGGGAAACUGGGUCUAAUACCGGAUACGACACUCCGAGGCAUCUUGGGGUGUGGAAAGUUCCGGCGGUGCAGGGUGAGCCCGCGGCCUAUCAGCUUGUUGGUGGGGUAAUGGCCUACCAAGGCGACGACGGGUAGCCGGCCUGAGAGGGUGACCGGCCACACUGGGACUGAGACACGGCCCAGACUCCUACGGGAGGCAGCAGUGGGGAAUAUUGCACAAUGGGCGAAAGCCUGAUGCAGCGACGCCGCGUGAGGGAUGACGGCCUUCGGGUUGUAAACCUCUUUCAGCAGGGAAGAAGCGAAAGUGACGGUACCUGCAGAAGAAGCACCGGCUAACUACGUG